rnacentral:rRNA from 1 species
GCAGCCGCCGCGGGAAUACAGAGGGUGCGAGCGUUAAUCGGAUUUACUGGGCGUAAAGCGUGCGUAGGCGGCUUUUUAAGUCGGAUGUGAAAUCCCUGAGCUUAACUUAGGAAUUGCAUUCGAUACUGGGAAGCUAGAGUAUGGGAGAGGAUGGUAGAAUUCCAGGUGUAGCGGUGAAAUGCGUAGAGAUCUGGAGGAAUACCGAUGGCGAAGGCAGCCAUCUGGCCUAAUACUGACGCUGAGGUACGAAAGCAUGGGGAGCAAACAGGAUUAGAUACCCCGGUAGUCCCUGUCUCUUAUAU